rnacentral:rRNA from 1 species
UACGUAGGGGGCGAGCGUUGUCCGGAUUUACUGGGCGUAAAGAGCGCGUAGGCGGAUAUCUAAGCGUGGCCUGAAAGCCCCCGGCUCAACCGGGGAGUGCGGCUGCGAACUGGGUUUCUUGAGGACGAUAGAGGAGAGUGGAAUUCCUGGUGUAGCGGUGAAAUGCGUAGAUAUCAGGAGGAACACCAGUGGCGAAGGCGGCGGUCUGGGCCGUAACUGACGCUGAGAAGCGAAAGCGUGGGGAGCAAACAGG